rnacentral:lncRNA from 1 species
GAGAAAGCUCUUCUAUCCAUGUACACACUGACUGUCAUAAUUUUCUUUUUUUUUCCUUUUCCAUUUUUUAUUAUGUAUUUAACUCAUUUACAUUUCCAAUGCUAUACCAAAAGUACCCCAUACCCACCCACCCCUACUCCCCUACCCACCCACUCCCCCUUUUUGGCCCUGGCGUUCCCCUGUACUGGGGCAUAUAAAGUUUGCGUGUCCAAUGGGCCUCUCUCUAUCCAUGUACACACUGACUGUCAUAAUUUUCAAACCCUUCAUUUUCUAUAAUUUCUAUUAUUAAUUAGCAAGCUAAAUCUAGUCAGGGUUGUAAGAUGGGCGAUAGAUUUUGUGGCUGUGUCUACUCAAUAAAGGCUUCCAGAAAAAAUGAAACUGUGGAACUGUGGAUAUUUAGGAAGGACGUGGGUUUUCUUAAAAUGCUUUUAUGUGAUUUAAAUUUCAAGCAAUGGUAUCUGGGGCCAGAUUCUCUCUGUUCAAAAGUCCUAGACUGCUGAGACUUCCCUAAGCACAACUUUAGAGCAUCCACAGCGGAAGAGCAAGAAUGACAGAGGAGAUUAUCAAAUGUUUUCCCAUUACCACUAUUGUUGAGCCUGCAGUACUGCCUCCAUGCUGUUUUUCCUUCCUUUCCUUUUAUAGACGCUACAGAUCCAAGCUCAUAGCACAAGGUUUUAAGAACUAUGAGUGUGUGUGUGUGUGGGGGGGGGGGGGGGGAACGGGACUGGAAAGAUGGCUUAGUGGUAAAGAGCACUCACUGCCUGCUCUUCCAGAGUUCCCGAGUCCAGUUCCCAGCAGCAACAUGGUGGCUUACAACCAUCUAUAAUGGGAUCUGAUGCCAUCUUUUGACAUGCAGGUAUACAUGCAGAUAGAAUACUAAUACAUAAAAUAAAUAAAUAAAAUGAAUCUUUAAAAUGAAAAGAAUUGUGAGUGUGAAUGGCCUAGUAAUAUAAUAGAAAAAGGAUAAUAUAUGUUAUAUAUGUUACAUUGCAUAAUAUAUAAUAAAAUAUAAUAAAAAUAGUCCUAAAAACUGUGUCACAGCAUUACCCAUGUGCUUCACUUGCUGUGUUAGAAUAUUAGCUAACUGAAUAACGUCAAAACAACACCAUUUUGCAGAAUCAUGUUUUCUGCUUCAAGCUGAGUUCUUCAUAUUGAUAUCACUCUUCCCCUUGAAGGGUUCAAGAUUCAUAGACAUUUGUUGGGGUGAGACGUUUGAUUUCCUACUCGUUUCAUUUUAAACAUCUCGUCUAAGAGGCAGAGCGCUUCCUGCAGCAUGAAACUGUAUUGAGACACUGGAUGCUUGGCCCUUCACUGAACAGACUCUCAUAGACGCACUAGUGGCGGAUAUACUUUGUGGUGUUUCCUGACACGCUCCAGCUGGGACUCCAUUAAGCUCGCUGUUUUCUUCCCUUGAAGUUGUUUCUUAAUAAGCAUUAUUAAAAUGAGUGCAUGUUAAAUAAUCUCAGGAUCAGUACUUGAGUUGAAACACGGAUGUCUGCAAAAGAUAAAAAGCAAUUUUUUAAAAGUCUAUUAAAAGUCAGAAUAGAAUAUGCGGACUCAUUCUAACUGAGGGGUGAUUAUAAAGGGAAGUGUGCUACCUCAGUCAGGCCCUCACAUGCUGACACCCUGUGAGUAGUGGAGUCCUGUUAAAGGUCACAGUGACUUCAGACAAAGUUGUAAAUCAAUGUCAUGUUUAUGAGCUCACAGAGUUACAGCUAUGUCUGUUUCCUAAGGAGUCUUGGGAGGGUAGCCUUUCUCACUGUGGUGAUAAGAAACCAAUCAUCGUGAAACCCAUUUCUCUUCCUAUCAACUCAAGAAGAGACAGAAGGGACAGAGAAAAAUAUAAAUGUCAGAUGGACUACUGGCUUCUGAGACACAAGCUUGUGGAAAU